ACGAAGGGUGCAAGCGUUAAUCGGAAUUACUGGGCGUAAAGGGUGCGUAGGCGGUUCGUUAAGUCUGCUGUGAAAUCCCCGGGCUCAACCUGGGAAUGGCAGUGGAUACUGGAAAGCUGGAGUGCGGUAGAGGGUAGUGGAAUUCCCGGUGUAGCAGUGAAAUGCGUAGAGAUCGGGAGGAAGGCCGGUGGCGAAGGCGGCGCUCUGGAACGUUUCUGACGCUGAGGCUCGAAAGCGUGGGGAGCAAACAGGA
rnacentral:rRNA from 1 species